AUUUUGAUUUGUAUGCAUAGUUUCAUAGCAGUGCAAUUUCUUAUAGCUAUUUCUCUAUUGUACUGGUACAAAGUUCAAAAUGAUAAAUCCAUUUUUUUUAAUAAGGGGGACUGCCAUAAAAGGGGGCUCACUCAAGUCAUAGUUCAAUUUUUCACUGUAUAAUCAAUUAAAUUUUUCCCAUGAAAGGGGCCUAAGGGCCCCUAAAUCCAUCACUCAGUAAAAUCAACAGGAAGCUUCUAGGUAGUUAUAUGUGUUUGUGAUCUUUCAAUUUAGGAAACACAAUGACAAUAGCAAUAAUUGUGAAAGAUAUAGAUACAAC
rnacentral:lncRNA from 1 species